ensembl:lincRNA
GAAAAGAGUGGAUAGGACACUAACCGAUGGCGGGUUCAUUCCUUCAGAAGUUGUAAGUAGCCGGCCUGAUACUGUUAGCUCUCUAAGGAUUUCUUCUGAUCGUCAGUUUUCAAACGAGAGCUUUGGCAGAAAGCUGAAGAUGUGGGAAACCUGGGAGCUAGUGCAGUGUGGACUUGCUGAGGACAGCCAGGAUGUAAGCAGGAAUGUUCAGUCCUUCGGGCCACUAGCACAAGAGUUUGCCUUUCAGCCAGCCAAACUUUCGGGAUCUCCUGGAGUUGCAAUGGAACCCUUGUUACUGGAUGACCCACCACAGGAUUCCCUUUGAUACGGAAGUCACUCAAGAUAAUGCCUUUGCAAUGGAAGAUGUCAACAAAGGUAUCUUUUUUAGGUUUCAGAGAUUUCUUUUCAAAAUAGUUAUUUUUGUUAUAUUUAAUUAUUGUGUGUGUGCAUAUUAUGUGUGUGCAUAUGUGUGUGGGUGCCCACAGAGGCUAGAGCUAUCGCAUCUCCCUGGAGUUGGAGUUACAGGCAGAUGUAAGCUGCCUGACUGCCUGACUGAGGUGCCUCUAAGCACCUAGGCUCAUUUACCAGGCCAAGGUCACCUGAUAAGGCCAGGAAGCAAGCCAGGCUUGGGUUGGUGGGGCCACAGUAAGACCCAGGCUGUGAUAGUUUUAUUGAGAGCAAUCCUACUUUUUAUCUCUUUAUCAGAAACAGAAGAUGGUAGCAAUUGUCAGGAUCAAUGCAGUUGCAGUUGCCAGGACACAGUGAAGUUUGCAAAUUAUACAGGGCACACAAGAUUAAUGCCUAAGACUGAUUGGCCUUUCGAGCUCCCAUGUUUCCUUGACUUCUGAGAACAUACAGAGAAACACAAAGUGGCCUAAUUGCUUCACUGCCUGAGGGAGUGGAUCGGUUUCUCAGGAAUGAGAAGACACAUUGUGCCCCAGAAGCCACGGAUUCUAACUGAAAAACUUAUAUGAUACAUGCCUCUCAAAGUAGCUAGGCCAAGCCAACUCCAUGGUUCCUUGCAGGCGCUGAGAACCAGUCAGGGCUCUGCAAGAGCAGUGUGUAUUCACAACUACUGAGCCGUCACUAGAUAAUACUUUUUUGUUUGUUUGUUUUUCGAAACAGGGUUUCUCUGUGUAGCCCUGUCCUGGAACUCACUCUGUAGACCAGGUUGGCCUCGAACUCAGAAAUCCUCCUGCCUCUGCCUGGCUUUUGUUUUUGAUAGUUGGCUUGGUUUUAGAUUAAUUAAUAGUGAAAUAAAUGAAGCUGGAGGCACCUGGGGGGCACAUUUUGGAAUUAGUAGUAAAAUUUAACUUUAAAGACGAAAUGUAGUGCCAUUGCUUAAAGGUAGCAAGUAUUUGUUAUGUGCACCUUGGUUUUGUGUGUGAAUCUUAUGUACACGUUUUAUAAGCUGUCCUUUUGUUUUGAAGAUGAGGUCAUCUACGUAGCCCUGUGUGACUUCAAAUUUGUGGCCAUAUUCCUGCCUUCAUCUCUCCUGUGCUGGGCUGAUGCUCUCGGACCGCCAUGUCCUGUGGUGUGGCUUACUUCUCCCCUGAGUCCUCGGGGAGUCUAUGCUGUCAUUCGUGCAUACAGAGAGCAGCACUUACAGUGCUCAGACUGACCUCUAUGGUCGUGAUGUUUCUUUUGAUAUUUGAGGAAUGCCUGCGCAGGAGAAUUAACCAUUAUUUUGUGUAUCUCAAUUAUUAUUUCUAGAAAAGGCAGAAAAGUCUUGGUUAAAAAUGAAAAAUCCCUUGACCUGUAAGUACCUCUCGCCGCAGAGACCUCGAUAUGGUCAGGAGGAAAUGAGUGUUGGCAUUGCCUGGUUGUAAUAGCGCAGAUGUAUUGCAGUUGAAGAGUUGUUACUAUAGCAACCCUGUCUGUGCGACUGCAUGUUCAAUUCUUUUCUUCAGUCUCUUUCUGUGACCUACAACAAAGCUUGGAUUGUUGCUCCCAAGAUUUAUUCCCCAUUCCAUUAGUUAGAAUGCAUUUCAGAGCAUUCUGACAACAGUACAAGAGAGGAUACACACACACACACACACACACACACACACACACUGGUGUGUGACCAGAGCAAGGAAUUAGGGCUGUAGUUUCCAUGUAAAUAUGUAUGUUAACAGAUGCUCUAAGAAAAGAGGCAGCAUGGAUAGACACGGGGUCAAAUACUUGACACAGAGAGUGACAUUAAACACAUGUGUUGCGAUGCCAGUGCAUUCGUGUCUGCACUUGGUAAGAGUAAAACACACAUGUGCUUGCAUGUUUUCUAAAUGUUUUCCUCUUGCCCCCGCUUCUGCUGGGAGACAGAGCACUGUGUGCUGGGGAGGAGUUUAGAGGUCUGGAGAGACUGCUAGAACGAGAUGAGUGUGCUAAGAGACUGUGAGAGCUCUGGAGGAAGGGAUGAAAGCUCUCAUUUUGUUCCCAGUGCAUGAGUGGUGUCAUCUUAGACCUUGCUCUCUGUGCCGAGGGAAAGCAGUGAGCCCUUUCCUGUGUUGUAUACAGCAGUCUCUGUUAAGACGUGUGUCCCUUCUCCCCUGUGAGGGGCCCUGCAGACACUGAGCUACCAUACAAGGAAGAUGCAGCCAGCUUGACUUGACUUAGCUGUGGCCAAUCCGAGAGUCCCUUCUCUGUGGUGCUGGUGCGGAUUUGUGUCAAGGACAGGCUCUGCAAGUGCUUUUGGUUUUGAAGUCGCUCCUCUGCUCCUCCGUUCUGUUCUAACUGUUCUCCAUGGCACUGGCCUCACCAACAGCCUCGCUCUAAAUCUUCAUCUGAGCGUCUCUCGAGGUCUGUAGCCAUAUGUGUAUUCACUACAGUCAUCUGGAGAAAGAGCCUUCCGGUUUGGGUUGUCACUGCAUGCUGACAAGUAGGUUUUAAAGGGCAAACAGAAAUACAGGAAGAGGCAAUUAUAAGGAGAACCUGCUGGGCUGUAGAAGUCCCAUGGUGGUUUCUGCCUAUCUCACAGUACUCAGCAUCGGUUGCCAUGUGCUGACAGCCACAGGCCUCUAUAGAUGCUGAGGUAGGCCAAGGAUGUGUUCCUACACGCCUGUUCUGGAGGUGCUGCCUGCUGUGUGACCUGAAAGAAUUAAUCUCCUCACAGCCUCGAUUUUCUUAACUGUAAAACAUAAGUAGAUAAUAUCACUUUAGUAACAGGUACUUGGACUAGUGCCUGAGAAUUCACGGCUUUAGUGGGGGUUUAUCUCAUCCUUUUACACCUUGGGGACCAAGGCCUGCUGCAGCACAAAACUGUGGCUGUCCUGGAAGAGGGAAAGAUUGAGCCAGGAAACCUGCUUACAGAUUUGCAUACAUUCCUGUGGUGGUCCUUUUAAACAUCUGUACUACUAAGAGCUGUACCCCUCCGGGGCUGAGAAGAGAGCAGAGGUGAGAUGCGCACAGAACCGGACAGAAUGGACUGAAGGGACAGCACAGGCCGGAGAUGCUGGGGCAUAGCAUGACCAGGGCAGCAAAGGGGACCCAUUGUGUCUGGGCAUGUCUGGGUGUGUGCUUGCCUGCAGUGAAGAUCUCUGUUUCCUUUCCUACUGCUGAGAAGUCCCUGGGAAAAGCCAGGGAGCCCAGUGCUGACCCUCAGAGGCCCUCCCACCACACUCCCGCUGGACACCCACCCUCACUGGCCUGGAUAAUCCCUCCAGUUGUUGCUCCUGAUAAGUUGUGUCAAUAAAAAGGAAAGGAAAGAAAACUCGGCAAGCAGCAAAAGUGUGAACACAGCCACUGCCUGAUGCCAAGAGCUGUUGCAGCUUCGACCUGCAGAGGAAAGAGAGGCAUGGACAGCCCCGUAAUAGCUCUGAGAUUGUGUUAGUAACCCUUAUGCAAGCAUUGAUCUGUGGCUACAGCUCUAGGAUUUGAAGUCCCCAAAGGCUCUAAAAUCCAAGUAUUGUUCUGUUUAUUCAGUUUUUUUAAUGGUGGUGAAAUAUACAAUAAAGCCAUUGCCUUAGCUA